AUGAGAAAACCUUUGGGUCUCGCUAUGUGGGUUUGGCCCUAUAGAGAGGGCAGUGCAUUAUAUAAAGUUUUCAAGACUUCUAGUAAUACAAGGAUGGGCAAAGUGCUGCCUGUGUAUGUGGCCAAUUUUGUGGAACCUGUACCUCUUCAGCUUGGGGAAAAAAAACCCGGGGUAGUGGUUUUAAAAGGUCAUAUUUUGCUCCUCAAAGGGGAAGCUGUAAAAUGGCAUGCCCCCCCUCAGAUUUUAUAUUUUAAAAAUCAAGAUUUUAUUCAUUCACAGCAAUGAAAGGCAGACUUUAAUAUAUGUGACCAAUACUCCCUGCUAUUUCAAACUACAGUAUAAGGAAAACUACAACUUCUUGUGUGUGAAGCAACAGUGCCUCACAGGACAGGAGAAUCCUUUUUAGACUACAGGUAAUAGAAGAACCUGAACAACAUGGCCAGUGAUAAUGGUAGCGGGACGAUUCUGGGACUAAUAGUCUCCCCCCCACCCCCAAAAAAGAAAGAAAAAGAAAGAAAAGAAAUGGAAGAGGAAAAAACUUUUCCAACAAUGUUGGAAUUUUACAGGGAACUCUCUUCAUUAUCUGAAUUCAUGCUACUUUAUAUCAGAAUGGAGAGUACGGUAUAUCUUUUCCUUGCCUUCAUCACAAAAUACAGUAACUCAGUUCUUUGUCUAGUGAUGCCAUGAAUCCAAAAUCUGUUACUCCUGUAUUAUUACUGAGAAGCUUGUUCUGCUAAAACAUAGAAGGGACAUGCUGCUCUCUAGAGGAAGUGGGAAAGCUUGCUUAAAGUGUCCACAUAGAAUCUGCUACAUUUGUGGGACAUCAGCUUUAAGAUUCAGGAUUGGUUUGGUCAGUGUAUGUUCACAGUAAAUGAUAUACACAAUUAUCUAAGAUUGAUUAUGUGAACUUUGCAGGCUCAAAUCAAUUUAUUUUUAAAAAAACUUUAAAGUGAAAAUUGGCUCACCUCUUUGGUAUGUGGUGGAAAGCCAUCUCUAGGUUUUCAGUGUUUAAUCCCAACCUCCCCCCUGCCCCACUAUUUUAUUUUAGCAGAACAAGGAUACAAGUAUAGACAGAGAAUAAAGGGUUUUAAAAAGCACA
rnacentral:lncRNA from 1 species